rnacentral:lncRNA from 1 species
CAGGGGGCCACGUUGGAGCUAACAGAUCCUAUUGUACCCCCUUGAGCUACCUCUACCUCUCACCAUGAGGUGUCAGGAGGCAGCUAGCAACAAAAUUCCCAAGUCAUUCUGACGUCUGAUCCUGGGAGUCAGGUCGUGCGGCAGCAGAACCAACCUUUUCCAGGGCAAUGGCACAGAGCACUUCCGGGUUACACCAGUCUGGCUGAACAUGGGCUCUCACAGCAGCACCAGACAGACAUACUGGGGAGGGUCCCUGCAGGUAGGCUGGCCCCUGAGGUGACUAAGAGGAGUGAAAGCAGGCCUCCCUCCCACCCCUGGGAAAAAGGAAAUCCAGCCCAUUGAAGGUAAAGGACAUAAACUUGGAGAGGACCCAUCGGUUGGCAGAGGUCUCCCAAGACCCAGGAGGCAGGCACAGGCAAUGCCUGCUUAGAUGCCCAUAAUUCCUGGUUCUCAUACUGAUCGCACAGCCAGAAGCAGGCUUCAGUAGUGGGCAUGGAAGCAGCCAGCACCUCUGUCCACGCUGACUGGCUGAGAGGAAAACCAGCAUGGCUGGAGACUAAGGACAGAGCAGACAGGAGGCUUGGGCAAUGGGGCCCGGAGCAGGACUGGAUGUCAUAAUCCUUACUCUUCUGUGUGACCUGAGACAAGGCCUCGCCUCUUUCGGAGCCUCUGUUUACCCAGACUUCCUUAUGAAAACCCUGCUCUCCACCAUCUCCCUGUCCGAUCUGAGUAGGGCCUCCGUGGACAUACCAACAGAAGAGACAAACUGAAAGGCCCAAGAGGGGUCUAUGCCCACGCUGCCUGCCAUCCUCUCCCCACCCAUGGGCACACAGGGUCCUCGUUGAAGAAACACGGUGUAUACAAAUAAUUAAACGGAAGAAUUGGAGUGAUUAGGGCAGAUGAUUAUUGUCAAAUUAUGAUUUAUCUUGUAGUGGAAUUAGUAUUCCCCCAAAGGGCCCGGCGUGGCGCUGCGCCCGCCACGGCCCGUGAUUAAUCGCCGUCUCCAGAAGGUCACCUCCAGCCACUGCAGAUUAACUCAGUGGGGAAACUUCUUUCCGUAAUUCAAGCUGUUGUUCCCACAACCUGUCAUCCGCCUUGGAAAAGGACGAUUUCGUCAGGGAGCCCGGGGCGGGGGCUGGCCUGCUCCCCAGCCCCUCCCGGCUGCAGACAUGAUAUAUGGAGAGAAGGCAAUCUGAGCACAUGGAUCACCCUUAAUAGCAGCCAUGCUCUCUCCAGGCGUCGCCUGCCACACCCAGCACUCAAGAUGGGGCAACACACUGGGCUGGUGACAACAUCUGGAACAGUGGAGAUGGCUGAGAGCCAGAGGAGGUGACUCCAGGCUUACUCCCCACUAAACCUAAUCUAUGAAGGAACAGAAUCUCCACACAAGGGGCUCUAAAACCUUCACACCUCCCCCCUGUCCCCAAACCCAGAAGGGUGUGAGAGAUAAACAGCUUUGGUUCCAGUUCUAUUCAGGCUCCAGGGCAAGCCAACCUGUGUCUUUGCCUUUCUGGGCUGUGAAACCUCAAUAAAUGACACCCAUCUCUACCAUGGAGCCACACCCC